CGUAUGUAAGACUUUGUCUUCAAGCGAAAAGAAAGUUAAGGGGAAAAAAAAAAUAUCCCUAGUAUGAUGCCACUUGGAUUAUCCCUAGCCACGGAGCUCAUGCAUAGGAACGUAGAAGACUGCUCACAUCUCAAAACCUCUUCAAGGCCUCGCCAAUCCUAAAACCCAUAACGCCAUGUCCUCCUUGGCCGCUAGGUCAGUGCUCCGCUCCACCACGUCUCGAACCACCCAGCUGCGUUCGAGGCUCGCUUUCGCAGCCAAAACCAAACCAGUCGCCUCGCCCUUUAGCAUCCCCAAACAAAACCAAAACCUACUCUCUCAUCGCAUCUUCAGGUCGCCUGUGGAGUUGAGCUGCUGCGUGGAGACGUUGCUUCCCUACCAUACAGCCACAGCCUCUGCAUUGCUCACUUCGAAGCUAGAAGUCUCGCAACGCUUCUAUGUUUUGAUCCCUGAAGGGGGCUGAAGUUAGAUGAUGAUGAUGGAUGGAUGGAAGUGCGGCCAUGGCAUUCAAUCAGUGAAUGAUUGUUACCCGUUGAGAUGCGCGGCAUUGUCGUACUUUUCGUCAAUUUCAAAGAAUUUUGCAAGACUUUCUUGAGGGAUUUUUCACUUUUAAAACUAUUUUGUUAUACAAUAUUAAUCAUUGAGGAAGUGAUCUUGAUAUGUUUCCCUUAGUAAAAGUUAAACUAUAUUGCAACAGUUUUAACUAUGGGAUUAAAUAAAUAGAAUUAAC